AUUUUUUUAUAGCUUCUUUUUUUUUCUUUUGGUCAAAUUCGGAUUAAUUGAUGAAUUUCAUGUUUUUUUCUUUUUUAUUUCAGUGGUGUUUCCGUCAAAGGAGAAGGAACUUCAUAUGACUUUUUCCAGCGGGAUUUGGCUUUCUUUCUUUUCUUUGAUUUUUAGGUGGGAUCUACUGGUUAGCUUCCCGGAUUGGUACUAUUGCCUGUUCCAAGGGUUAUCCACUGGCAGUUUCCCAGGUCUUUUGGCCGUUUCCAGAACCUUUUCGUUGCCUGGAACCCCUGUGCCGCACCUGGCGAUACAAAAAUAAUUGUUGGGGAUGCCCGCUUCUUUUUCGUCCCAGUCGGAUGGCGUUGUCCAAUUGUGGAUUUAUGCGCGGCGUUAUUCCUAAAUAGAACACAAAACUUAACACAACACAUCCGACAUAACAUCACUUACAAAUCAACACUUACAAAUUGUUUAGAUACGCCACACAAAUAAAACAAUAAAACACACAAAUUGUAACUGCCAAUUUAAUAUUUCCUUUUUCUAUUCACAAAAAAAAACAUUUAAAAAUUGACUGAACUGUUUCUGUUCCACACCACUUUGAAAUAAUGGCGCUUUUCGCCCUCUCUGUGCUUUAUAUACGGCCACCAAGGACGCUCAACCAAACUUUCCCUCUUUUCCAAGAUUUUCCCACAAUUUCCCUGACAUUUAUUAUUUACCUUUAUCAGGUGUUCUACCUACCCACUAUUAUCCCCAGUGUUGUAUUUUUGCCACACGUCUCUCAUGUUGUACAAUAAACAACAUGAAACUUGGCAUCACUUUUUAAAAUUUAGCCGGCCGCCCUGCGUAUCCGGUUCUCUUUUUUGGCUGGCGUUCAGCACGUUCGGUGCAUUAAAUUGCACAUUAUAAAAAUUUUACAAUGAGGAUGAACGCAACAAAACUUCACCACUUUAGAAAAAAAUUAAAAAGAAAAGUGGUGAUGUGCGUGAAUCCUUACAUCCAGUCGUAAACGGAAUAUAAAAUUGUGGAUUUAAGUAAGUUUGUCCUUUUUUUCGCCACCAUUUCGCGUGGAAUGACUACGCGACCAAACCAAAUUUCUUGUGUUUCAUUUUAUUCCUUCGGACAAAGACAAAUCAAAAAAAUGCCAUGUUCAUUCUUGGGAGUCUCAUGUGUAAGUAUGUGCGUGUGCAGGCACGCUGCAUCCAUUGAAAAAAAUUCCAUGCACACACACAUGCACGAAGUAGUUGCAGUCGUGUAAACGCACAUGAAGGGUGCGCAACGCCGUUCAUUCAACUACAUCGCCCAUUCAUGCCGUUUGUCGAUUUAUAAAUCCCUACGCGACUUUGCCGUGUAUUGUUGCAGCUCAUUCAUCGGAAUCGGACAAACCAAAAACAGAAAUUUGGCGAAGUUGCACGCACUCAUCAAACAAUUUAUAACCAGGUCUCUAUAUUGUGCAGGUA